rnacentral:rRNA from 1 species
CCUACGGGAGGCAGCAGUGGGGAAUAUUGCACAAUGGGCGGAAGCCUGAUGCAGCGACGCCGCGUGAGGGACGAAGGCCUUCGGGUUGUAAACCUCUUUCAGCAGGGACGAAGCGUGAGUGACGGUACCUGCAGAAGAAGCACCGGCUAACUACGUGCCAGCAGCCGCGGUAAUACGUAGGGUGCGAGCGUUGUCCGGAAUUACUGGGCGUAAAGAGUUCGUAGGCGGUUUGUCGCGUCGUUUGUGAAAACCCGGGGCUCAACUUCGGGCUUGCAGGCGAUACGGGCAGACUUGAGUGUUUCAGGGGAGACUGGAAUUCCUGGCGUAGCGGUGAAAUGCGCAGAUAUCAGGAGGAACACCGGUGGCGAAGGCGGGUCUCUGGGAAACAACUGACGCUGAGGAACGAAAGCGUGGGUAGCAAACAGGAUUAGAUACCCUGGUAGUCCACGCCGUAAACGGUGGGCGCUAGGUGUGGGUUCCUUCCACGGGAUCUGUGCCGUAGCUAACGCNUAGCGCCGCCGUCGGAGGUACGGCCGCGACGGACGUAAACGUAAACGGUAAAGUAGACGGACGUGAGUAACGUGUCCGAACGGACGACGACGAGGGGAGGAGG